CACUGGCAAUGGUAACUGGUCUGCCACUUUUGACGAAAGCACCGGAUUUAAAAGUUGAAUCCGGUGCUUCCGUCAAAAGUAGUGGAUCUCAGCCUAUGCUCGUGUUGGUAUCCUGUAUCCAUGAUUUUUUGCGAACAUGUUUCCUUGGUAGGCUUGCCUGCCAAUUGGACAAAAACCAUAACCCUUUCAAUAUUUAAUCAGCGUCUGAAUAACUUUAAUAAUUACAACUUUCAACAACGGAUCUCUUGGUUCUGGCAUCGAUGAAGAACGCAGCGAAAUGCGAUAAGUAGUGUGAAUUGCAGAAUUCAGUGAAUCAUCGAAUCUUUGAACGCACAUUGCGCCCCUUGGUAUUCCAUGGGGCAUGCCUGUUCGAGCGUCAUUUGUAAUCUCAAGCUAUGCUUGGUGUUGGGUACUUGUCUUAGCUAAGCCUAAAGACUUACCUUAAAUAUAUUGGCAGCCAGUAUUUUGGUUUGAAUGUGCAGCACAGCGCCUCAAGCUAUUAAAUAUGGGCAACCAUGAGAAAUUAUCAGUCUUUUGACCUCGGAUCAGGUAGGGAUACCCGCUGAACUUAAGCAUAUCAAUAAGCGGAGGAAAAGAAACCAACAGGGAUUGCCCUAGUAACGGCGAGUGAAGCGGCAACAGCUCAAAUUUGAAAUCUGGCUCUUUUAGGGUCCGAGUUGUAAUUUGCAGAGGGCGCUUUGGCUUUGGCAGCGGUCCAAGUUCUUUGGAACAGGACGUCACAGAGGGUGAGAAUCCCGUACGUGGUCGCUAUCCAUUGCCGUGUAAAGCCCCUUCGACGAGUCGAGUUGUUUGGGAAUGCAGCUCUAAAUGGGAGGUAAAUUUCUUCUAAAGCUAAAUACUGGCCAGAGACCGAUAGCGCACAAGUAGAGUGAUCGAAAGAUGAAAAGCACUUUGGAAAGAGAGUCAAAUAGCACGUGAAAUUGUUGAAAGGGAAGCGCUUGCAGCCAGACUUGUUUGCAGUUGCUUAUCUGGGCUUUUGCCCGGUGCACUCUUCUGUAGGCAGGCCAGCAUCAGUUUGGGCAGUUGGAUAAAGGUCUCUGUCAUGUACCUCUCUUCGGGGAGGCCUUAUAGGGGAGACGACAUGCAACUAGCCUGGACUGAGGUCCGCGCAUC
rnacentral:rRNA from 1 species